UACGUAGGGUGCGAGCGUUGUCCGGAAUUAUUGGGCGUAAAGAGCUCGUAGGCGGUCUGUCGCGUCUGCUGUGAAAACUGGGGGCUCAACCCCCAGCCUGCAGUGGGUACGGGCAGACUAGAGUGCGGUAGGGGAGAUUGGAACUCCUGGUGUAGCGGUGGAAUGCGCAGAUAUCAGGAAGAACACCGAUGGCGAAGGCAGAUCUCUGGGCCGUAACUGACGCUGAGGCGCGAAAGCGUGGGUAGCAAACAGG
rnacentral:rRNA from 1 species